ACGCCAUCAGUUACAAAUAAAUCGUGAAGUUGGUGUAAACAGAAAUCGCAUUAAAAUGUCUUGGAUUGGAAAAUUAUUAUUUUUUCUGUGCAUCUCUUUGACGAUUAUCCACGUGUCAAAUGCUGAAAUUAGUUGGUGGAAUGAUUGUCGUUGUUAUGAUCGGCUUACUGGAAGGUGUUUCAGGUGUUAAUACUGGUGAAACAGACAUCGGAACAAGAAGAUCAGUGGAUCUAUUGGGAUUUGAUGAUUCUACAAUCGGAAAAUGCUUGCCCUUGGAAGUUGGUUCAGAAAUGGAAAAUGUAGAUUUGAUAAAUGAUCUUUUGUGUAAAAUAUUCAAAUGAGUUGGAUUACAAAUUUAAAUUGAUAUAAAGCAACACUUAAGCUCAUUACAGCAGACUUUCUUUCUUGAAUAUUUUCUAUAAAUAAGUCAUUUGUGGUUCAGGGCGAAUCGCUUCAAAGGCUAUCAAUGUUUACGGACUGCAAUUAUAAUCUCUUCAUGAAAUAUAUCAAUAAAAUGUAUUAAAUAUAUAAUUGUUUCCCUUAUGGAAAUCAUGCAAUCAUCGAUGAUCAUUCAGUUACAAACAAAUCGUGAAGCUGGUGAGAACAGACAUAAGAAAAAGCUCUGAAAUCGCAUUAAAAUGUCUUGGAUUCAGAAACUAUCAUUUUCUCUAUGGAUCUUUUGGGCGACUCUACAAUUGGCAGAGCCUGUACAUAAUGACUGGCAAAGUCCAUGCCAUUAUUUUGAUAUCUAUGGAAACUGUAUCAGAAUUGGCUAAGAAUAAGUGAAAAAAAUAUUCAAAUGUGGUUUCGAAGUAAAUUUUGAAAGAAAUACAAGAAUAAUAAAUAUAUUAAAAUGAUUUUGAAAUAAUUAAAGUAUACCUUUUGUCUGAAUAUUGUUUUUAAAGAUUGUCAAUGGAGUUGAAAUAUAAUCUCUGUAAUAUAUCUCUAUAAUAUGGCCCAUAUAUAUAAGACAAUACACAAUUUAUUGUUCAUUCAGUUACAAAUCACUUUUGAAGCAACAAAUAGCCUUCUCAAGGAGAUCUUCCAAUAUCUGCACACCAUCUGAAAGUGAUCUUCCAACAUCUUUAGCCCAUCCACAGCAUCUAAGGAAGUUCCUCAACACCCGAUAGAUUUCUUCAACUGAUAAACGAUAUCUUUGAUUGAUAAAUUCUGGUAUUUUUGCUGCAUUUUGUAAUUUGUAGAUUUGUUUAAUAAUUGUCAAAAAUCUUUAGAGAAUUAAGUCCACCAUUUAUACAUGAUUAAUCCGAAAUAAAAGUUAUAUAUCUUUAAAA